UCCUCAACUUCCAUUUCUGGUC
rnacentral:siRNA from 1 species